rnacentral:rRNA from 1 species
AAACCGCUUUCAGCAGGGACGAUAAUGACGGUACCUGCAGAAGAAGCCCAGGCCAACUACGUGCCAGCAGCCGCGGUAAUACGUAGGGGGCAAGCGUUGUCCGGAUUUAUUGGGCGUAAAGAGCUCGUAGGCGGUUUGGUAAGUCUGGUGUGAAAUCUCCACGCUCAACGUGGAGGGGCCACCCGAUACUGCCAUGACUGGAGUCCGGUAGAGGAGUGUGGAAUUCCCGGUGUAGCGGUGAAAUGCGCAGAUAUCGGGAGGAACACCCGUAGCGAAGGCGGCACUCUGGGCCGGUACUGACGCUGAGGAGCGAAAGCGUGGGGAGCAAACAGGAUUAGAUACCCUGGUAGUCCACGCCGUAAACGUUGGGCACUAGGUGUGGGGCUCUAUCGACGGGUUCCGUGCCGAAGCUAACGCAUUAAGUGCCCCGCCUGGGGAGUACGGCCGCAAGGCUAAAACUCAAAGGAAUUGACGGGGG